rnacentral:rRNA from 1 species
ACGGGUGAGUAAUAUAUCGGAACGUGCCCAAUCGUGGGGGAUAACGUAGAGAAAUUUACGCUAAUACCGCAUACGAUCUAAGGAUGAAAGCGGGGGAUCGCAAGACCUCGCGCGAUUGGAGCGGCUGAUAUCAGAUUAGCUUGUUGGUGAGGUAAAAGCUCACCAAGGCGACCAUCUGUAGCUGGUUUGAGAGAACGACCAGCCACACUGGGACUGAGACACGGCCCAUACUCCUACGGGAGGCAGCAGUGGGGAAUUUUGGACAAUGGGCGAAAGCCUGAUCCAGCAAUGCCGCGUGCAGGAAGAAGGCCUUCGGGUUGUAAACUGCUUUUGUACGGAACGAAACGGUCUGCCCUAAUACGGCGGGCUAAUGACGGUACCGUAAGAAUAAGCACCGGCUAACUACGUGCCAGCAGCCGCGGUAAUACGUAGGGUGCGAGCGUUAAUCGGAAUUACUGGGCGUAAAGCGUGCGCAACGGUUAUGUAGACAGUUGUGAAAUCCCCGGGCUCAACCUGGGAAUUGCAUCUGUGACUGCAUAGCUGAGUACGGUAGAGGGGGAUGGAAUUCCGCGUGUAGCAGUGAAAUGCGU